CAUUCGCGACAAAUAAAAAAAAUUGAAGUUGGAGGCUUGAAAUUUGAUUUGCAUUCACAGUUAUAAACAGGAAUAACACUAUUCGCUUAUGACUAUUUUCACAGGUGGGGCCAUUGGCGAUGACUUAGAAAUAAACAUAUUUCAACAGCAAAUCACGACCACGUCAUCAUUUCGUGUUGUUUGUACCAAGGGAAGGCGUACUCUACUUGUGUACGAUCAUUUUGUUCGGGACAAGUUUCACGUAGGAAACAAUAAGGCUUUGAUUGUCCACAUUAUUAGUAAUAAUUUAUUACAUCGGACCUUGUGAUUUAUUGCUGGUUUCCAAAUUGCGGAGUCGUGAAUUUGCUGCGCCUUUCCGGUCAAAUAAAAUGUUUCAUGCAAUACUUCGUUGUUAAUAGAAUUCAUGAUGCUAAUGAACAACUGUACUUUUGUUUGGAAUGAAUCUCAAUAGUGUCGUGCUACAAAAGCUGGACGCCGUACUUCGCUGUCUCAACUUAGUUGGAGUUACGAGUCAGUACUGACGUACCUGAAGCUUCAAGGAUUUAUCUUGGCUGAGAUCAGGCAUCAGAUAAAAAAAAUCGUGGUCUUUUUGAUUAUUUAAUGCUUAUUUCUAAUCUACAGGGCGCUAACUGUCCCGUUGAGUUAGAGCUUAACAAUUCUUGCUGAUAUUGGAGUUAAUAUUGACUUUCAGCCUUUCAUAAUCCGGAGCAAAUAUUUUUUAUUUGAAAAAGACCGCAUUCAUCUCAAAUAACCGCAAGGUAUUAAAUAUAUUUCUUGCUGACAUUUUCGUCUAAGAAAAUGAAUAUUCAAUAUUACGUUGUAGUAUUCUUUGUAUUGGCACUUACGCAACGAAGUUUGUGUGCUGUCUCCGUUAAACCGGAUUGCAAAGACGACUAUGGGUUGAACAUCCGAGUGGAGAAAUGUUUUUUUUAUAAUUGUCACAAGUGUUAUUGCUCCGAAAUAUACGAAGACAUGCAUUUCGCGGAGUGCAGAUCUGCGACACGUCCAACUGUUUACCACAAGGAUUGUAGACGCGUAUGGGAUCCUGUUCUCUGUGAAUAUCAGCUUCUAUUGAUUGAGGACGAUAAUCAGCCUUGUCCAUAUCCAGCUUACGGCGCAGUUGGAAAAUAAAGUGGAAAUGAAUCGAUAUAGUUUCAUCGACUAUACAAAGACGUAGUUGAAAAGUGGGAGUGGUUUGAAUUAAACUGGCAAAUCGAAAUCAUCUGAUUAUUUUCCAGAUUUAUGAUUUACUUGUUGGAGUUAGAAGAUUUUCCGUUUUGUUAUAACAAUCAUAUAUUUGAUAUUACUUUGUUAAAGAUUCUGAAUGAAAUAUAAUCAAGUGAAGAAAAAUUGAGAUAGUUACCUGUAACUGUUUAUAGAUGAUAUAUACUGUUGGCAUAGUAUAUGUAAGGAUAUUUUUGAAUAUAUAUAUACACAUUUUUCUGUUUUCAAUUGGUAUCUUGUAUUUUAUCGCUUUAUAUGGUGAACCCAUUAUAGGAAAUUUUCUUAAUCGUAAUUUUGAACUUGAGUGUCCCUGCUAUAUUUUAAUUGAUUUUGACUCGAAUUUCACUCCUCGUUAUAAGUUUUUAUAUUUAAAAUUCACUAAGUUCGUGAUUUUAUACCUAGUAUUAAUUCAUAGUUACCCUCCCGUUAUAUUUAAGAAGACACCUAGAAACGAUUCAACGGACGUGAUAGCAACACCCAACAUGUAGGUAGAGCAUCAGCGUUCAUGGUGUAAGCUCUCAUCCACGUUGACAAAUGUUUGAUUUGUUUUGUGUAUUCGCCUAUUAUAAUAGUGCUUCAAAAAGCCAAUAACGACACAACUUCAAAUAUACGAAUACUGUAUAAUCAGAUCGGCAUUAUUAGCGCCUUUUAUUUGAAUAAAAACUUUUGACUUAAUAUUAGCAAGCAGAAAGCAUUUACAACAAUGAA